AGAGUUUGAUCAUGGCUCAGGACGAACGCUGGCGGCGUGCUUAACACAUGCAAGUCGAACGGGGUCCAUCCCUUCGGGGAGAAGACCUAGUGGCGAACGGGUGAGUAACACGUGAGCAACCUGUCCCAAAGACUGGGAUAAGCCGGAGAAAUUCGGUCUAAUACCAGAUGCCCUCUUUUCGUCAUAGGACGAGCUGAGGAAAUGAUUUAUCGCUUUGGGAGGGGCUCGCGGCCUAUCAGCUUGUUGGCGGGGUAACGGCCCACCAAGGCGUCGACGGGUAGCUGGUCUGAGAGGAUGGUCAGCCACACUGGGACUGAGACACGGCCCAGACUCCUACGGGAGGCAGCAGUGGGGAAUCUUGCGCAAUGGGCGAAAGCCUGACGCAGCAACGCCGCGUGAGGGAUGAAGGCUUUCGGGUUGUAAACCUCUUUCAGCAGGAACGAAAUUGACGGUACCUGCAGAAGAAGCUCCGGCUAACUACGUGCCAGCAGCCGCGGUAAUACGUAGGGAGCGAGCGUUGUCCGGAUUUAUUGGGCGUAAAGAGCUCGUAGGCGGCUUGGCAAGUCAGGUGUGAAAACUUCGGGCUCAACCCGGAGACGCCACUUGAUACUGCUAUGGCUUGAGUUCGGUAGGGGACCAUGGAAUUCCUGGUGUAGCGGUGAAAUGCGCAGAUAUCAGGAGGAACACCGAUGGCGAAGGCAGUGGUCUGGGCCGAUACUGACGCUGAGGAGCGAAAGCGUGGGGAGCGAACAGGAUUAGAUACCCUAGUAGUCC
rnacentral:rRNA from 1 species